UACGUAGGGUGCAAGCGUUAAUCGAAAUUACUGGGCGUAAAGCGUGCGCAGGCGGUUUUGUAAGUCUGUCGUGAAAUCCCCGGGCUCAACCUGGGAAUUGCGAUGGAGACUGCAAGGCUAGAAUCUGGCAGAGGGGGGUAGAAUUCCACGUGUAGCAGUGAAAUGCGUAGAGAUGUGGAGGAACACCGAUGGCGAAGGCAGCCCCCUGGGUCAAGAUUGACGCUCAUGCACGAAAGCGUGGGGAGCAAACAGGG
rnacentral:rRNA from 1 species